rnacentral:lncRNA from 1 species
ACCGGUUGAAUUUUAUUUUUUAGCUUCUAAUUUCCUUUUUUUGACAAUCUCUCCCAUUUAACAAAAUUUCUACAAUCUAUCACAUUUAAGCAAACUUGUGACACAGAUGACCCUAUUUAGUAAAAAGGGAUUUUUAUUUCCGUGCCCUCCAUUGCUUAGUUCUACUCAGUUUUGUCCAAGGCUUAAAACGUUGCUCGCUUCUACACUUCAUUUUUUGGCAAAUGCUCGCAAAUGUCCUCACGGCGGACCUGUUAACCGUCAAGGCCU